CCUACGGGAGGCAGCAGUGAGGAAUAUUGGUCAAUGGGCGGGAGCCUGAACCAGCCAAGUCGCGUGAGGGAAGACGGUCCUACGGAUUGUAAACCUCAUUUGCCGGGGAGCAACGGGGUCCUUGCGAGGGCCCGAUGAGAGUACCCGGAGAAAAAGCAUCGGCUAAUUCCGUGCCAGCAGACGCGGUAAUACGGAGGAUGCGAGCGUUAUCCGGAUUUAUUGGGUGGAAAGGGUGCGGAGGGGGGGCGGUAAGGCAGCGGUCAAAGGUCGGGGCUCAACCCCGGCCUGCCGUUGAAACUGUCGGCCUCGAGUGGGCGAGAAGUAUGCGGAAUGCGUGGUGUAGCGGUGAAAUGCAUAGAUAUCACGCAGAACUCCGAUUGCGAAGGCAGCAUACCGGCGCCCGACUGACGCUGAGGCACGAAAGCGUGGGUAUCGAACAGGAUUAGAUACCCGAGUAGUC
rnacentral:rRNA from 1 species